UACGUAGGGGGCAAGCGUUGUCCGGAUUUAUUGGGCGUAAAGAGCGUGUAGGCGGCCAUACAGGUCAGCUGUGAAAACUCGAGGCUCAACCUCGAGACGUCGGUUGAAACCGUAUGGCUAGAGUCCGGAAGAGGAGAGUGGAAUUCCCGGUGUAGCGGUGAAAUGACGCAGAUAUCAGGAAGAACACCCGUGGCGAAGGCGGUUCUCUGGGACGGUACUGACGCUGAGACGCGAAAGCGUGGGGAGCGAACAGG
rnacentral:rRNA from 1 species